rnacentral:ncRNA from 2 species
CUUCAACUCCGCGGGAGCCUGAACCGACCAGGCUGAGAGGGCACCGAGCCGACCGCUACACCUGAUGCGGGUCAUGCCGCCGUAGGAAGGAAGUGCCGUCGUUGC